AACUACGUCAUUUUGAGCAACAAUGACCUGACACAGCAGGGACUGUUGGAUGAGGCGAGCACGCUGUGUACCUGUGGUAGCGUCUCUGGUGCAGAAGUGAGUUUGGGAGCAGAGGAGAGGUGUCUCAUCUGGUUUACCCAAUACGACGGCUGUGAAAAAACUCUGAGCAUCUGAGAGAGUAGUUUGGAACGUGGUCAUCUGGUCAGAUUAGCAGAGAUCGUGUCUGCCUGUCCCAGUUUGACCAAACUGGAGUUCAAGAACAAUUUGCUGCAGUCGGAUUCGAUUGAAGACUUUGUGAAACUGUUGAACAGCAGUGAGAGAGGAAUCAGUGUCAGUUUUGAGGAGCAUUGGAUCAGAUCUGAGGAAGCUGUUAGUUUGGUGUGUCGCUGUCUGGAGCUCAACGGUAACAUAUACACCAUCAGGGUUCACCAAACCACGCUACACCUGUCUCUGAUGAAGUCCGAAGUCACU